rnacentral:rRNA from 1 species
AUACGGAGGGGGUUAGCGUUGUUCGGAAUUACUGGGCGUAAAGCGCACGUAGGCGGACUGGAAAGAUGGGGGUGAAAUCCCGGGGCUCAACCCCGGAACUGCCUCCAAAACUUCCAAUCUAGAGAUCGAGAGAGGUGAGUGGAAUUCCAAGUGUAGAGGUGAAAUUCGUAGAUAUUUGGAGGAACACCAGUGGCGAAGGCGGCUCACUGGCUCGAUACUGACGCUGAGGUGCGAAAGCGUGGGGAGCAAACAGGAUUAGAAACCCUAGUAGUCC